rnacentral:rRNA from 1 species
GAUGAACGCUGGCGGCGUGCCUAACACAUGCAAGUCGAGCGCGGUCCCUUUGGUGCUUGCACCAAAGACGACUGAGCGGCGGACGGGUGAGUAACACGUAACUAACCUGCCUUUCAGUGGGGGACAACAGGAGGAAACUCCUGCUAAUACCGCGUACCUUUUAACAAUCGCAUGAUUGAUAAAAGAAAGGUGGCCUCUAUUUAUAAGCUACCGCUGAAGGAGGGGGUUGCGUCUGAUUAGCUAGUUGGUGGGGUAAAGGCCUACCAAGGCGAUGAUCAGUAGCCGGUCUGAGAGGACGAACGGCCACAUUGGGACUGAGACACGGCCCAA